rnacentral:lncRNA from 1 species
GUAGACUCAUCAACUAUACCAGUCCUCUGUUCCUGGUCUCUGGAGCUUCAAUUUGGGAAAGUGACCCAUUAGCUUCUGAGGACCAGGGUGAGAGAGGGCAAACUUGAAUGCCCUUCACAAUGGAGAGAUGUGUGCAGACCGGACAGACAUCAGUUCCUUUAUCAGUGCACAGGUAGCUGCAAUAUGCUUCCUGGAAUCCUCUCUCAAAUAAACUGCUUGCCUCCAAAUCCUUGUCUCAGGCCUGCAUGUGGAGAGAUAAAACCCAGACAAAGAGGCAGACAUGAGCAGAUGAGCUCCCCCGAACAGGAGACAAGUGGGCUGAGAGGUGAAGGAAGAGGAUGAGCUCCAGCAGCCUAAGGGCUAUCCUCUGAAGCAGAGUCACAGAGCCGAGUGUAGCAAGAAAAGGCUCGGUGAUGCCUGGGGAGGCGACGCCGGCAGUCAGAAGAAUCCAAAGGAGCCUUGACAGCGUCACUGCAGACAAACCUGUCUCCACUGACUGCCCUACUCAGACUCUGCCUGUCUGUGGUGGCCCACUCUCCUCGGGGUGGAUCGGCCUAAGAGUUUCAUUAAAAUCAAGGGGACGGGGAUUGUGGGUAGUGUUGGGACCCAGUAAAGCCCUGGGCUUAAUGGAUCAGAACCAAAACCCCAGCUCCACAUGGGCAGCCCUCAGUUUUCAUGGGUCAGCCCUUUCUGAGAAACCCAGCCAGGGAGGAGCACAGGACCAGCAGCAGGGGAUGCUUCUAAACCCAUAUCUCACUGGAUAAGCUCAUCACCUUCCAAGCCUCUGAAGAACAUUUACGUUCCUAUAAGUUUCUGAAGCCACGUUCAAAUCGUAGCUCUACCACCAAUGAGCUGCACGUUGGAGGGGAAGUGAAUUCACCCCAGACCUGAGUUCCACAUCCCUAGACUGGGUGAGAGGGCCUCUGCCCAGGCUCUCCAUGAGGAUGACCUGCACCGUGUGCCUUUAAUGCACUUAGAACAGCAGGUGCCUCAGUAAACGCUCACUGCCAUUCUGCGAUCAUUAUUGCAUUCACUUCCUGGGGCUGCUGCAACAAAGUACCACACCCUGGGGGCGAAAACAACAGACCCUGACCGUGCCGAUGCUGGAAGUCUGAGAUCAAGGUGUGGGCAGGGCUGGUUCCUUCCGAGGACUGUGAGGAAGACUGUUCCACGCCUCUCUGCAGCUCCGGGUGGUUUGCAGGCAACCUUUCCAUUGCUGGCUUUGCAGACACAUCACCCAGUCUCUGCCCUCAUGUUCACAUGGCUCUCUCCCUGUGUGUGUGUGUCUGCGUCCCAGCCUCCCCUGUUUAUAAGGACAUAGUGGCAUUACAUGACUACUAUUACUCUGAUAGGGCCUCAUCUUAACUAACUACAUCUGCAAAUAACCCAUUGCCACAUAAGGUAGCAUUCUGAAGUACUAGGGGCUAGGACAUCAACAUAGGAAUUUGGGGAGCACAUAAUUCAACCCAUGAUAAUGAUUAUCGUGAUUAUUAUUAAGAAUAUAUAACCACUGUAGGAUGAAAGCAAAUACUGUAAAAUCCUACUCAUAGGUUUGCAGGGAUUAAAUGGCAUCACUGGAAAAUUGUCUGACACAAAGAAGGGGUUCAACAAAUGUUGUUUUACUUCCUCACUGUCAGCCUAAAUAUAGAAAGUAUUUGCUCAUUGGCCCGACAGACAAGUUUUGACUUCUAGUUUUAUACCAGCUUUAUGUAUACAUGCUUAUAUGUCGUAUGUGACAUUUUGUACAUAUAAACAUUAGUUCUGCCUUCUAAUGCUAUUUUGAAAUCACCUUUCCCUUGUUAAAGUGUUCUUUUGAAAUUAUAUAAAAUAGCUGAAUAGUAUUUUAAAGCCAAAAUGCUACAAUUUACUUGCCAUGUUUUAUAAUUUGCUUACAUUCAGAUGGUGUACCAUCUUGUGUUCUGUUAUGAAAUAGCACAACCAUGCAUAAAUGACCCUGCCAUCCUACCCCUAGAACUUUAUUUACCAUGAAAUGCCUCCACGUACUUUCAUUUGCAUGUCUUGAGAACUGAACCGUAGACCCCUCUUCCCUGUCAGUGUUGACCAUCGAUAUUUCCUCCCACAUGUGGCUUCUGUUUCUGUCUCUGGGCAGAUUUAUUCUAACCUGCCCUCAAAUCUGUAAGAAGAUUGUUCAUUCCCUAGGGCUAGUCCAAGUCUCCUGGCCUGGUGCUUACUUCAAAUUCACCUAAAUCUGGCAUAAAAGCUUUCAGGACAAGGUGGAUCAAACUGCGCCCUUGUGUGAGUACUCCCUGGACAGAAUGUCUGGUUAUCUUCGGUGUAAGUUAUUUCCCAUGACUCACAAAUAGAAAUCAGGAGAGGAGGGAGGUAGGAGGUGCAAGCCUCUGCAGCUGUCUGGAGAGUCAGCAAAAGGGAGACAGAAUCUUUAGUUACUUCACAUGUGUGACAAUACGCCUAUGUUUUGUUUUAUGUUGUUUAUUUCUUAUGUAACAUUGUUGAGUUAUCAAAUGAAGUGGUGUAUAAAAAUGUCAAAUAAACAGGUUCUCUCCCUUU